rnacentral:rRNA from 1 species
GCCGGCAGCUAGCUCUCUGCAACUCUGCUAGCUCUCUGUAGGGCUGUGCCUGGUCAGUACCUAGAUGGGAGACCACAUGGGAAAGCUAGGUUGCUGCCGGAA